ACGACCUGACGGACAAACCGCAGUCGGAACUUGUGCGUCCGCCCUCUUUCAGGUUCCUCGCCGCCGCCGCCGCCGACGACCUCACUGACAAUCCGCCGUGGGAUCUCAUGCGGGGCCCGAUCUCCUGCGUGAUAGAUCUAUUUGUUGGCCCGUGGCAACCCUCCACCUGCAGCUGCCGCCCACGCCCGCACCCCGCACCACCGCCCCCUCCGCAGGUUCUCAUCGCCGCCACCGAUUUCUCGUUCUGUCGUGCUAGGUUGAGCGCCGGCCGGAGCGGGUCGGCCACGGAGAUGGCGUCUGCGUCGUUGUCCUUGGGCUGAGAUGGGGAGGGGAGGUCGAGAUGAAGAGAGGAGGGAGAGGGAGACAGCGAGCCCAUGGAGAAGCGCAACCAAGAGCCGUCCCCGUCGUCGUCCUUGGGCUGAGAAGGGGAGGGGAGGACGAGAUGAAGAGAGGAGGGAGAGUGAGACAGCGAGCCCAUGGAGAAGCGCAACCGGGAGCAAAUCUGUCCGUCAGCGGUACGAAGCCGACAGCCCCCUCCACCUCCGUGCGGCCACCCAGACAUUUGUUGUUCGUUCAGAAUACACGGAUAAUUAAAACCUAUACGGGAGAUGGACAUUCUUCUUCCACUUCUAUACAUCAUGCUACCCACCGGGUGUGGAUAUUCACCUCCACCAAUUUCAUUCAUCCUAUGUGCUACUUCAGUUUAUUAGCUACGUUUAUACACUGUUUUUAAAGGCCUAAGCCAAAAUCGCAUGUUAAUUCCCUGCGCAAUUUUUGUUAUCCUAAUACACCUUGGCAAAAAAAAUUGUCACUCAAGAUCGAACUCACAGUACUUAGCUUUAUACCUUCAAUGCUUUUAACUGGGUGUGUGAUUCUUUUGUUACUAAAUAAGAUUAGCUUCUUCCUAUGCAUCUGUUGUUUGUUUGAUAAUUUAUUGGGCAUAUUUUCAACUGGAAGACACAAAGGAGGUGGCGUAGUGGCAUGGAGAUUCUGGUGUUGAGUGUCUUGUUUGUCUGGGUACUGUUCUGAAUAGAUGGUAACACUAAUUAUUGAGGCUAAAUGAUACUGUUAUACCGCUUUCUUGGCCUAAAUAUUAUUUAGUAAACAUCUUUGUUCCAUAUCCUAUUAAUAUGCGCAUAUCUUCUCAGUUUAUUCCCAUUGGUGCAAUGCCUAUUUGAUUUUAUUAUUAGGUAUUAUGGGAAAGUUAGUACUAAGUACCACCCUUGAGCAAGCGCUUUCUAUUUAUGUGAUUCAGUUAGCGAAUUCAGUUUUCCGUGGCCGAUGAAUACAGUAGGAGCCUGGGACCUUUUAACCGCAGAGAUGCUCAAUUAGUAAUCAAAAAAAGGCCUCAUUUCUUUGUUGGAAUUCUAUUGGUUCGGCCAUCGACACGUCUCUCUUCAAGGCAAGGUCAGGUCUAAGAUGAGCUCGUCAUAUUUUCUUUCUUCAAUCUCAGGUGAAGAUUUAUUUCCUGUGCACUAAGAUCCAUUUUUUAUGUGAAUGAGGAGGCCAGACAGCAUUUUAUGAACCGUUUAUGUCUCUGAACCGGACCAUACCGUGGGUGAUUGACGAUUGUCUUAGUGUGCAUAGCUAUAUUCUUGGGUGCAUGUUAGAUCUAAUAAUUUUGACAAUAUGUUAGGUGACCGACGAAAGAUUUGCUGAUACGUUUGCAUUUAUCGAGUUCGGUGCAGAAGCAGGUGCUAGAGCUGCACUUAACCUUGGUAGCACAAUGCUUGGGUUCUACCCUGUUAGAGUCUUGCCUUCAAAGACAACUAUCUUACCUGUGAAUCCAGAAAUUCUUCCGGUGAUGGAGGAUUAGAAAGAAAUGGUCCUAUAAACGGUUUAUUGUAAAAUAUGGAUAAAAAGGUUACUCAAUUAGAUGUAAAGAGUUUCUUUGAAGAACUUUGUGGUGAGGUGAGUUAUGGCGCAUAUCCAAUCAUCGUGUCGCAUAGCUUCUAAGCUAUGUUGAUUGCCCUGGUGAGUGACAGUGAUAUCUUUGGGGAAGCUUCAGAAAGUACAUCAACUUCUGCAACAUCUGUACCUACUGCAGAUCUUACGAGUAUUGAUCAGCUUCUGACAACAUUAAUGAGCCAGGAUGAAGUUCGAGAAGUUGCAUUACACCAUGUAAAUAUUAAGGUUCCACUUUAAUGAGCUGUGGAAGACAAGUGCACCGACAUAGCUCAUGGAGAAAUAAGAAGAUGAUGAAGAGCGAUUUAUGGGUAAAAAAAUAUAGUGAAUAGAUUUGCAUGUGAAGUCAAGUGUAUAUGCCCAGACUCGAGCAGGUUCGCUAUUAUUGUUGUUCUUGUGUGUCAAGGCUUUUGGCUGCAGACUUGCAGGUAUACAUACGAGUCCAUGCUUAAUUUUUGUUUCGUUUCUUACUUACCACUGUUAUUUCUAGCAGAAGGGGCAGCUGGGGCAUGGGGACACUCUUGCGUAACCUCCAGCUGUUGUUUCUAAACUAUGAAAGUGAGUGAUAAGCUUGAUCAUCGGAGCUUGUGAAACCGUGUGAGAUUUUGAAUCCCCACAACAAGCCCGAGAGGCUGGCACUAAUCAUGAGUAUGGGGGCUAAGAAGAUGCAUGACAAGCUCCCCCAUAUGAUCAGAGCCGUGCGUUAACCAGUGCUGAUUGUCACUUGGGUCAGCGAUCCCAUGCACCGGAACACCAUCAGCGCAUCUUGCAGGCUGAGGCUUUGUUUGAUGUCCAUGAGUGAGAGGGAGCUACCCUGGAAGGGUUCACCUAGAAAUGACAUGGCAGAACAUUACAGAGUGCAUUGGUGAAUCCAACACAAUGACCUGAAAUGAUCUCAUUUCCCGCUACCACACACAUUGCGACCCCAGGCUGAAUGCGUCACAGUCGCUCGAGCUGACUUUCACCAUUUCCGAUAGGCUAAGGAAGAAGGACAUGGAAUAACCUCAUAUCUAGGGUACAAGCUUAAGAUAUCUAUCUUAUGUUUCUUCCCUACAAAACCCUCUUCUGCUGCUGGAGGACAUAAUUUUACAUUCUUUAGUUUUUUAGUAGCAUAGGUGGCGUUUGAUUUUGGAAAUACCAAGGAAAAAUCUCCCUCAAAUAAUAGGAUAUAGUUGUUUUGUUGCAUUACCAUUUGUGCUUAGUUCAAUUUCUUUUGUGUUCAUCCUUUCUUUGAUGCAGAUAGUGUGAGGCAGAUUA